UAGUUUUAUUGAUUCUGAGGCUUCUGUUUCCUUAGACCAAUAAAAGCUUUAGCCACGCAGAGCCAUGGAUGCAAACUUCCAAGGAGAAAAGAGAAAGAGGAGUCCUCCAAGAGAAAAGAGAAAGAGCCCCCUUUCUUUCACCUUUAUCCCUUCCAAAAAAAUCUCCUAAUAAAUAUUCAAAUCUGACUAAUUACGAAAAAUAAAAUAAAGUCCUAAUAUAACUGGGAAAGUGGUAUUUUCCAGCUGGGAUUUUCGUGCAUCAAAUCUGGAAACUUCUGAAAAUUGACCGAGUCAAAUCCACGUAUUGCAGGCUAAGGAC
rnacentral:lncRNA from 1 species